AUCCACCCACUUUCUGGGUAUUCCCAGCCACACCCUCCCUUGUUUCCCAGGGCCCAGCUUUUCUCUGCAUCUCUGGUGUGACUUUCCACGUGCUGGGACAAUUCUUCCAGUUUCCUCACUAGCUGCACUGGGAGAGACUUGGGCUCAUCUCGUAUUUCUGGCUGCAUCGUGCCGCCACCAUUUGGGGACUUCUGCAGCUCUCUUACAGAGCCAUCUGCCCCCACGCUAGGCGGACAGUCUCCAGCUCUGGUAGCUGCUGGACUGAGGAGUCCUCCAGUUUGCAGUUUCCACCUGCAGUGGGGCUGAAUAUCCUGUUCCAGAAGCCCUUUGUCUACUUGGGCGCUUUAGUAUUCCUGUCUCCGAACCCAGCGGUGGGAGACAAGGGGACAUUCUCAGAGUCCCUUCUCAGGAGCACACUGGUCACUGACUGCAAGUAAACCUCAUGUGGAACUGUUUGGCCUGGUGUGGUCCUUCUGAAGCCGGGAGACAUUCAAGAUCAUAACAAUGAGUACUCAUGAAACCUGCAAUCCUGGAGCUCUCUGCAUCGCUUGUAUGCAGCUCAACAGGCCCCAGAGAUCUCCUCACUACAAUGAAGCUGGUAUGAGGCUUCUCCUUCACCAGGUACAGAGUGGGACUGGAGACCGGAAGCAGCGGGGACUCCCGCUAGGAUGUGUGUGGUGGUACUGAGAAGCUGCUCGGUGCUGGCAAUGGCUUCCCUACUGGGUUACCACGAGCUGCACCUUAGCAGAGAUGCGCGUCCCUCAGCGGCCUAUUUGUUUCCUGCUUUGCUUUGAUAAGUGGUAUCUGCGAUGACAGCGAGAGCACACAUAUAUCUAACUUUAAAAAGAUUCGAUUCUGCCCAUUAUGAUUUCCUCGCUGCUGGUAUUUUGAUGAAGAGGGAGACAGACAGUAACGCUUCCCCGAGAAAGAAACGGAUCUCAUCCUACCUCCUGUUGGUCUUCUGUGUCUGUGUUAGCCACUGUCAGCGGAAACCAGAGAAGACUAGGUCUUGCGUUAUGAGAGCCAGAGCCUAGGGCCUGACACAGUUCAUUCUUCAUCGUAGAACCCAGUAGUACAGCAAGGUAUCUUGAGCCCUUUGAGUCCAAAUGCUGUGUCAAAUGCUCGCUCUGCCUCAUACCGCUGGACCUGAUUCCCACGGGAUCAGCAUGCUGGUAUUGGAAGCUACCGAGAAACCUCCUGCAGCUUUGGUGGUUCCAGAUUAUAAUAUGUCACGGCAAGGAAGUCACAAUCAAGAAGCUUGCAGGAGUUGAUCACGUCACACCCACCAACAAGAAGCAGAGAGCCACAAAUGGAGAGGAGAUCAGGUCCCCUCGAAGAAGGACUCAGCUACAAUACCAAGAGCGAUUUCUUCUGUUCAGGAUCCAAGCUCGUAACUUCAGAUGAACCUGGGAUUGCCUGGAAGACACAGCUGCCUGGACCCCACAGCUGGCAUAUUUAUCCUCUCAUGUAGUCGACUGACAGCCAGGGGAGCCGCACCCUGCUCGCGGUGAGGAGGUAAGUCUGUACUGUGUGGCCUUUCUUUCUGGAGGCUGAGGCUUUUGUAGACAGGUAGCUCACCCUUUCUUUUUUCCGCGGCUUCCCCCAGUUGUCUGUGCUGACCUUCCGUCUGUGGACUGUGGGCGAAGAUCAAAGCCCUCUCCAGUAGUUACUUCAACUCAAGUUUCUCAAAAAAAAAAAGGAAGAAAGAAAAAGUAAAAGAAAGAAGAAAAAACCCUAUUUUUCUCUCCAAAGACAAGUAAGUUGCUUUAGAGUAAGUAGCUUUAGACUGGAGUGGGACUUAGGGGUGACUCUAUCUUGACUGCACACUGUACCUGGUGGUCUCUUCUAGCUAUUUCUUCUGUUCAGGAUCCAAGCUUGAUUAACAUGGGGUUGGAUUCCCUAUUGUUAGUGCCGUUAUCCCAUUUCCCAGGUCUCUAGUGGUAGACUGAAUUAGCACUCUCAAUAACUCAUUUCCUCUUCUGGGGAAAGAGGAUCAACACUCCUCCUGGUGCCCUGCAACUUGAGCAGCCUUCUCCACCCCAGGGAUGUCAGACAAAACCAUGGUCUUAUUUUUGGUGGAUGAAAUACGAGUGGCUGCAUCAGUGUGGAGUUAUGAGCAGAGAACUAGGAGCUGUCAUGUGGUCUGUCUUUGCUCUCGAGGCUGCCCUCUAUCACAAACGGCAUGAACUCAAUCCCAGGAGAAGAGAGAAGUGCAGGUGAGGACCCGGCAGCACACCAGCCAGGUCGCAGUCAGCAGGCUGAGUAGGAAUAGAGACAGAUGCUGAUUUCUUUUUGCUCAGAGAGCAAGCAGUUCCUCAUUCUCUCCAAAGCCAUAGCCUGCUACCCAGGGAAGAACUACUUGUGAAUAGCUGAUGAUAUAUAUUUAUGUGCCUGUGGUUGGGAUACUAACGCAACCGUCUCUAGUAAAAGCAUCCUGGCACACCUCUUUGCCUAGGAGGGCUGAGUGCACCAUGGGAGAGAGGCUAAGAUACCAGUGCAUAUCUAGAGAAGCAUUUUUAUGUUAUUGAAUUUGCAACCUCAGUGUUUAACCUGAUGAAAUUACACCCUGGUCUUCUGGCCUGGCCAAUGCAUGUAAGGCCCAGUCUAUGCCACCUACUUUAUCUUGAUGUCAUCUGCCAUUGAAUGCCAGUCAUUACAUGGCUCUUUUGGACUGCCUUACCCAGUCUCUGGUAUGGAGUCUCCUUACCUCACAGCUAUAACAGCUUCUUGGAAGUCCCCUACCUUGCUCCCCCUGUGCUGGAAUGAUUCUCAGCAGCCAUUUUGCCUAAGCAUGGUGCACUCUUAUCUUGCCUCAUUUGCUCUUGGCAGGUUUCAGCACUGGGUCAGUGAAACCACCUGGUCUCCUGUCUAAGUCACUCUUCUGCUGCUUUGAGGAGAUGCUAUGUCCGAGGCAUCUUAUAGAAGAAAAUGUUUAAUUUGAGCUUGCUUACAGCUUCAAAAAGUCGGUGACCUUCAUGGUGGGAAGCAUGGUCGCAGACAGGCAAGUAUGGUGCUGGAGUAGAUUCAUCUGAUUUGAAACUUGGAGGCAGAGAGAGAAAAGGAGGAGACUGCGCCUGGUGUGAGCCUUUGAAACCUCAAAGCCCAACCCCGAGUGACACAGCUCCUCCAAGCAGGGCACACCUCCUAAUCUUUCCUAAACAGCUCCACCCACAGAGAAUCAAACAUUCAAAUAUGGGAGUCUACGGGGGCCACUCACAUUCAGACUACCACAUCUAUCUGUGAUUUUGGUGUAACUGGGUAUAAUGACCUACACCUGCAAUCCUAGCACUCAGGGGUAUAGAAAUUUAAGGUCAUCCUUGGCUUUAUAC